UGGUUGGAUGCCAACUGGGGU
rnacentral:piRNA from 1 species